CGAGCCUGAUGCAGCCAUGCCGCGUGUAUGAAGAAGGCCUUCGGGUUGUAAAGUACUUUCAGCAGUGAGGAAGGGUGUGUAGUUAAUAGCUGCAYAUCUUGACGUUAGCUGCAGAAGAAGCACCGGCUAACUCCGUGCCAGCAGCCGCGGUAAUACGGAGGGUGCGAGCGUUAAUCGGAAUUACUGGGCGUAAAGCGCAUGCAGGUGGUUCGUUAAGUCAGAUGUGAAAGCCCGGGGCUCAACCUCGGAAUGGCAUUUGAAACUGGCGGGCUAGAGUACUGUAGAGGGGGGUAGAAUUUCAGGUGUAGCGGUGAAAUGCGUAGAGAUCUGAAGGAAUACCAGUGGCGAAGGCGGCCCCCUGGACAGAUACUGACACUCAGAUGCGAAAGCGUGGGGAGCAAACAGGAUUAGAUACCCUGGUAGUCCACGCCGUAAACGAUGUCUACUUGGAGGUUGUGGCCUUGAGCCGUGGCUUCCGGAGCUAACGCGUUAAGUAGACCGCCUGGGGAGUACGGUCGCAAGAUUAAAACUCA
rnacentral:rRNA from 1 species